AUUUCCCAUCUUUCCUUUCAGUCCUUGCCUACCGGGGAACAAGGUCGUGAAAAAACGGUCUUGGUGAGGUGCCGCCAUUUCAUCCGUCCUCGGUCUCUGCGCCUUUCGCAGAGCUUCCAGCAGCGAAUUUGCCGUUUUCAGUGGAAAACAAGUGGUCCUUACUAGCUAAGAUGUGUUUGUACUUUGGAUCUGCAUUUGCUACACCCUUUCUUAUAGUAAGACACCAACUGCUUAAAACAUAAGGAUGUUUCAGUUCCUCCAUUUAACAGAUAUGAAGAGCAUUUUAAGAGGUGCAGCCUGAAGUGGAUCAAACUAGAACUCAUAUGCCAUACUAGAUAUGUUUGUCAAUAAACUUAUGACGUGAA
rnacentral:sRNA from 1 species